GCGGUUACCCGGGCCCAGCUCAGCGGCCGUCCCGCCAGAUUUCCGCCCCUCGGGCCUCGAACCCGCGGGUACUCGGGUUGUGACGGUGUUUGUGAGUAUUUGUCUCCCCAACCCCAGAUAUUCCCAGCUUAUCCUGAGUCCAAGCCCUACCCAAUGUGGAAGAUAUGAAAUAAUGUUUAUAUUAAAGGCCAAAGUACAUUCACAUUUCCUCUGGGACUCCCUUCGCGGCAUGAAUACCCGCACUCGGGUUAAACUUCGUAAUUACGGUGCUAACUCUGAAAAUGGGUUCUUUAACGGAGGUUUAUUGAAAGCCUGUGUGCUCGGGGCGAUGCUUGGUGUCUGAGGAUGAAGUGCUUUCACCUGGAUAAGGACGGAAAGCGAGUUUGGCCUGCUCAUCAGUGGACGCAGGAAAAUGACAGACCUCUGGGCUAGCAUGAAACACAUUUGAGGACAAAUAAUAAAGAUUAAAAAAAAAAAGAAAAGAAAAACUGACCCCAGAAAGAUGAAGGAAAUGAGAACAGCAGUAUUCAACCCACAAACUUGUUUGCCUUUGGAGAACCGAGGACCGCCGCGACGAUGCUGCCUCCUGGUGGCGGAGCCUGGCAAUCAGGCCUAGUGGAGCUUCGCAUCCAUUGGGUGUAUUCUGAACCCAAAUUGGCGCCGGCUGCUCAGCAUCACUUUGUUCCCAAAUACAAGGAGAAAUAACACUUGGACGUGGGAAAGAAAAAGAACUUCACAGAAGAGGCCAGCUGAAGCUGAAGACAUUUUUACAGGUGUGAGAUGUGAAAUUAGCCAGGAAUGAUGCAUCUGAAAUAAAGAUAAAAAGAUAUCACUGUUAGAGAGUACCAAGAAUCUUUAUGUACACUGAUAUGACAGUAAGUAAAUAUGUAAGUACCAUUUGUUUUUACCCAUUACCCCAAAUCUUCAUUAACAAAGCAUCAUACCUUAUGUGGGGUGAUGAAUGUAAUAAUACAACUUUUAAUCAGAUUGUUUACAUAAUCAGGGUCCUUGCAAAAACAUUUACUUGGGAUCCUGCAUAUUCUCAAUGUGGUUCUGGAAGCAGUACAGUAAUACCAAGGGUUAAGAGUAUGGGCUCUGGAGUCAGAAUACCUAAAUUUCACUUAAUUAAU